rnacentral:lncRNA from 1 species
GGAAAAGGAGACAGGGAGUUCUGAGGUUAUCCACUGCCAUGGAGCCAUCACUUUUGGCCAAUUGUUGAGAUGGAAUCCAAGACCAGGAGAACGGUACACAAUGAUGUUGCAAGCAUUGCACUUCGUUUUUACCUCAGAGAUGCUCGGCAUACAACGGAGACAUGGCCUGUCCAUCAUGGAGAAAGUUCUUUCUCCGUGAGACCCAGGCG